UACGUAGGGUGCAAGCGUUGUCCGGAAUUAUUGGGCGUAAAGAGCUCGUAGGCGGUUUGUCGCGUCUGCUGUGAAAACCCGAGGCUCAACCUCGGGCCUGCAGUGGGUACGGGCAGACUAGAGUGCGGUAGGGGAGAUUGGAAUUCCUGGUGUAGCGGUGAAAUGCGCAGAUAUCAGGAGGAACACCGGUGGCGAAGGCGGGUCUCUGGGCCGAUAUUGACGCUGAGGAGCGAAAGCGUGGGGAGCAAACAGG
rnacentral:rRNA from 1 species